rnacentral:rRNA from 1 species
GGAUUAGAUACCCUGGUAGUCCACGCCCUAAACGAUGUCAACUGGUUGUUGGGUGGGUAACCACUUAGUAACGAAGCUAACGCGUGAAGUUGACCGCCUGGGGAGUACGGUCGCAAGAUUAAAACUCAAAGGAAUUGACGGGGACCCGCACAAGCGGUGGAUGAUGUGGUUUAAUUCGAUGCAACGCGAAAAACCUUACCUACACUUGACAUGCCAGAAAUCCCGCAGAGAUGUGGGAGUGCCGCAAGGAAUCUGGGCACAGGUGCUGCAUGGCUGUCGUCAGCUCGUGUCGUGAGAUGUUGGGUUAAGUCCCGCAACGAGCGCAACCCUUGUCACUAGUUGCUACAUUUAGUUGGGCACUCUAGUGAGACUGCCGGUGACAAACCGGAGGAAGGUGGGGAUGACGUCAAGUCCUCAUGGCCCUUAUGUGUAGGGCUACACACGUCAUACAAUGGUCGGUACAGAGGGUUGCCAACCCGCGAGGGGGAGCUAAUCUCACAAAGCCGAUCGUAGUCCGGAUCGCAGUCUGCAACUCGACUGCGUGAAGUCGGAAUCGCUAGUAAUCGUGGAUCAGCAUGUCACGGUGAAUACGUUCCCGGGUCUUGUACACACCGCCCGUCACACCAUGGGAGUGGAAUCCGCCAGAAGUAGGUAGCCUAACCGCAAGGGGGGCGCUUACCACGGUAGGUUUCAUGACUGGGGUGAAGUCGUAACAAGGUAACCGUA